CAUGUGCAAGAAGCAAAGCAGGACAACUCUUCAGACGCAGGACUCACUAGAAGCGUAACUUUUUCUAAGUAGGAUUCAGAUGCUGUUACCGAUUUCUUGCAGCCUCCUGUUGGGAUAAUAACUGUUAUACCUGAAGACAGCCAGCAACCCAAAUACCCUGCACGUUGAGCCAUCCAGCACUGGUAUCAUACUGGAAUGUAAUAUCAUUAUGGAUGGCAUUGCAAGUCACACUUAAGCUAUUUGCUUGACUUGUGGACAGAUACAAUAAAAAAAUGAUUGAACAUCUGUGCCAAAUUAAUAACUGCUUUAUCCUGGUCAUGGCCGUGGAGGAUCCAGAACUGUUCCUGGGGAAACUGGAUGUAUCAUUUCCCAGGACCUGAAGUGGGAGUAUAACAUCAACUCCACCAUCAAGAAAACCCAACAGAGAAUGUUCUUUCUGCGGAAAAUGCGAAAGCUGGGACUGCCACAGGAGCUGCUAAGACAAUUCUACACUGCGGCCAUCGAAUCAGUUCUGUGCACUUCCAUCACAGUCUGGUUUGGUGCAGCCACAACACAACAAAGGAACAGACUGCAGCGACUGGUGAAGUCAGCUGAAAAAAUCAUUGGUGCUCCUCUCCCCUCUCUCCAGGACUUGUAUACUUCAAGAACCAAGAAACGGGCAGAGAAAAUUAUCACUGACUCCUCACACCCUGGACAUUACUUUAUCCAACCCCUCCCCUCCGGCAGGCGCUAUAGAUCCAUCCACAUUAAAACCACCAGAUUUAAAAGCAGUUUCUUCCCACAGGCGAUCUCCCUACUAAAUAAAUAAAUGACUGAUAAUACAUAACACGUAAGCGUAAAAAUAUUCAUCUGCUGCCAAAUUGACUACACUGUAGUACUCAUCCUACAUGUUGUGCACUUUACUGUUUUGUAAAUAUUUCAGAUGCUGCUAAAUUACAUAUCUGUAUAUUGUGUGUAUAUAAUCUUAUAGCUUGGAUUAUUUUGUGUUUAAUGUUUAAUGUAUACGUUGCUUGUACACUGUAUCGUACCAUUACUAGAGAGAUACCAUCAGCCGGAAACAAAUUCCUUGUGUGUAUCCACAUACCUGGCCAAUAAAUCUGAUUCUGAUUCUGAUUCUGAUUCUGAUGUACGGCAGGAGUGCACUAUGGAUGUGAUGCUAGUCAAUCCCAGGGCACCAUCCCCAAAUAAAUUUGCACAUGUCAGAUUUUAUUUUAUUUAGUUUUUUAAAGAAAGAAAAAAGUAUUUCAAAUAUUUAAGUUUUACUUUGCAUUGAUGUGGAUUUCUUUAUUAUAUAUUUGAAUAAUUGUAAUAUAUGUAUAAUUAACACUAAUUUCUAAUACAGAUAUUUUGUUCUUAAAA